rnacentral:rRNA from 1 species
GACGAACGCUGGCGGCGUGCUUAACACAUGCAAGUCGAACGAAGAGCGAUGGAAGCUUGCUUCUAUCAAUCUUAGUGGCGAACGGGUGAGUAACGCGUAAUCAACCUGCCCUUCAGAGGGGGACAACAGUUGGAAACGACUGCUAAUGCCGCAUACGAUCUGACCUCGGCAUCGAGGAUAGAUGAAAGGUGGCCUCUAUUUAUAAGCUAUCACUGAAGGAGGGGAUUGCGUCUGAUUAGCUAGUUGGAGGGGUAACGGCCCACCAAGGCGAUGAUCAGUAGCCGGUCUGAGAGGAUGAACGGCCACAUUGGGACUGAGACACGGCCCAGACUCCUACGGGAGGCAGCAGUGGGGAAUCUUCCGCAAUGGACGAAAGUCUGACGGAGCAACGCCGCGUGAGUGAUGACGGCCUUCGGGUUGUAAAGCUCUGUUAAUCGGGACGAAAGGCCUUCUUGCGAAUAGUUAGAAGGAUUGACGGUACCGGAAUAGAAAGCCACGGCUAACUACGU